GGGGUUGUGGCUCAGUGGUAGAGCUCUUGCCUAGCAUGUGCAAGUCCCUGGGUUUGAUCCUCAGCACCACA
rnacentral:tRNA from 1 species